GUCUGCGCAGGGGCGUCCGGGCGCCUCCCGGGACCCCGCUGCUGUCAAGACCACUGCGCGGGUCUGUUGGGAACCCCUGCGUGGCGCGCAAGGCACAGCGCCUCGGAGUUGUGGGGUCGCCUUCGACCUUCGGGCUCGUCUUCUUGAGGCCGGGCUGACUUCUUGAGGCUUCCUGAGCCGCCGGCGGGCCUGGGAGAAACCGGACAGUUUGUCUUGAAGAACUGGACCUUCAGGGUCUUGUGGUUACUGGCACCAUCUUUCUGAAAUGCCAGUCGGGCCUUCAUGGGAUUGUGUUGCUGACUUCAGGAAUGUUUGGACUAGGCUGGAUUGGCCAAAACAUGACAUGUUCUGAGAGCUCCUGCUAAAAACUGGACACAUCAAUUCCAUGAGAAAUGAGAAGUGGCCAUUUUCUGGCUUCCAAAGAAACAUCAGAAACAAGAGAGGAAAAAAAUGCCCAAACAAUGACGGUGCCCGUGGACUUCCCUUUGAAGCUGACAGCCCUGUUUUAAUCCAUGAGACCCCGAUCCUCGGCCUCUCUGGGGGGUUAAAACAUCGCGUCCAGAAAACCCCAGGUUAGAAUGCAGUUGUUGUGUGCA